rnacentral:rRNA from 1 species
GACGAACGCUGGCGGCGUGCUUAACACAUGCAAGUCGAACGGAAAGGCCCUGCUUUUGUGGGGUGCUCGUGUGGCGAACGGGUGAGUAACACGUGAGUAACCUGCCCUUGACUUUGGGAUAACUUCAGGGAACUGGGGCUAAUACCGGGUAGGAGCUCCUGCUGCAUGGGGGGGGUUGGAAAGUUUCGGCGGUGGGGGAUGGACUCGCGGCUUAUCAGCUUGUUGGUGGGGUAGUGGCUUACCAAGGCUUUGACGGGUAGCCGGCCUGAGAGGGUGACCGGCCACCUUGGGACUGAGAUACGGCCCAGACUCCUACGGGAGGCAGCAGUGGGGAAUAUUGCACAAUGGGCGGAAGCCUGAUGCAGCAACGCCGCGUGCGGGAUGACGGCCUUCGGGUUGUAAACCGCUUUCGCCUGUGACGAAGCGUGAGUGACGGUAAUGGGUAAAGAAGCACCGGCUAACUACGUG